GGGGUCGGCGAGGCUGUGUUGACGGCGCCGGGGGAAGCGGGCUGUCGGUGUGGGUCCCGCCGCCCUGCUGCACGUCGCCGGGGCGGGACGGCCGCCUGACGCAAGCCGGUCCAAAGUGGAUGACUUCACAUUUCCCUGCAUCGAAAUCCAUUUGCUACAGUUUUGCCCAGUCACUCAACUUAUCAAUUUCUCUUUGAAAUCUAAUGCGGCCUACCUGUGUCAUCUGCAAAUUUGGAUAUGUGGCUUUCUACCGCAUCACCUAAAUGAUUUAUAAAUACGCUUCUAUGGCUCACCAUCUGGCAUCAAUCUGAAAAAAUGGAUUCAGACGACUUACCUAAUUUAGAAGGCAUGUUUGGCUCCGUGUGGUCUACACCCAUGGAGGAAGUGAACCUGGAGCUAGAUGAGGGUCAGCUGAAUCUGGAAGUCGGGGAGGAUGACUUCACAGUAUGGAUUGCUUUCAAGGGGAACAUGAAGGAUGUUGAUUUUGCAAAUAAACUAGACUUGAUCAUCAAUAACAUGCCAUGCCUUCUGAAAAUGGAUUCGAAAAAACUGAAGCUCGAGAAAGUGGAGCCAUGGAACAGUGUUCGUGUAACGUUUAAUAUUCCCCGAGAAGCUGCAGAGCGGUUACGCCUGUUGGCUCAGAAUAAUAACCAGCAGUUACGUGACUUGGGCAUUCUUUCUGUUCAGAUUGAAGGUGAAGGAGUUAUUAAUUUGGCUUUGGUGCAGCAGAGAGGCCAAGAGAUCAGAGUAAAUGGACCAGUGAAUCAGAUCAGAAUGGAACCAGGAUUUUCUUUGCAAGGAGGACAAGGUUUGAUUAGAGUUAACAAUCCUUCCGCUCCCAUGCUCCCUUCAAGCAGCAACAUGGCAGCUUCCUUGGUCAGCAGUGGAGCAAGUUCAGACCUUAUGCAAAAUAGAUUACCGCAUCCUUCCACGCGACCCACUGCUCAACCUGGUAUGGAUUCUGUUCUCUCAACUCUAAACAUUCAAGCAUCAGGACACCCCUCUGGAUCAUUGCCUCAACAGCCUCACAUUGUGCAAACAAUGUCAGCCAACCGGCAGGUAGCCCCAGCCAAUCUGCAGCAGCACCAAUUGCAAGGAGGACGUCCUCCAUUUAAUCCAGCUCAGAUUUCCAUAGCUGGCACAUGGAAUCAAGUCCCGACAGCUGCAAUCCAAUCGCCCUCCACCCAGGGAGCUUUGGGAACUUUGGCAAAUCCAAUAUGGAAGAAGGCUCCUAUGCCUGGACAAAUGCAGCCUCAGCAACUUCAGGCCAGGCCACCCCUGGCAACUGUUCAGACCCCUGCUCAUCCUCCACCUCCCUACCCAUUUGGAAGUCAACAAACAUCACAGGCUCAUCAAACCUUUUCUCAGCCUUGCACCUCCCCACAGUUUGCAUCACCACCACCUAAGAACCACCAGGGAGGACCACCUCGAGUUCCUACGCCCCUGCAGCAGCCUCACCUAACCAACAAGUCUCCAGCCUCUUCUCCUUCUACUUUCCAACAAAGUUCCCCUUCCUCCUCUCCAACAGUUAACCAGCCACAGCAGCACAUUGGACCUCGGACACCUCAGAGCAGUUCCCUCCCUCAGACUUUUCAGCCAGCGGUGUGCCAGAGUUCUCCAAGUCGUGGUCCCAUUGUUCAGCAAGGAAACUUGCCAGCUGGGUUUAUGAUGCAAGCAAAUCAGGUGGCACAGAGUCCUCAUUCUACCAUAGGAAGCAUGCAGAAGCGUCUUCCACCGACCUUUCCUCCUGGUCAGCCUAAUCAAAACUUCACUCAAGCACAGAUUAAUCAAGCUGUUGCAUCUGCCACGUCGAUGAACAGUGGAAUUCUGCAGGUGCAGCCUAAUCAAAAUGCACCACAUACAGGUGGUCCGAGUAAUGUUGCUGCUCAAAAUCCUAUGAAUGUACAGUCUCAUGGGCCAACUAAUGUGAUGCAAGCAAAUCUUCUUGGACUUCAUGGGAACAUGAAUAAUCAGCAGUCCAUCAAUAGUCAAGUGAAUAUGGGUAACGUGCAGGGGCAGCAGGGCCCUCAGUCACAGUUUAUUGGGAUGCAUCAGCAAAUCGCACCUUCACAGGGCCAGGUGAUGAAUGUUCAAUCUCAAGGUCCACAUCCAUCAAACCAGAUGAUUAUUUCUCGUCCUCAGCUCAUCCAAAGCCAAAUGAUGAUGGCGACGUCCCAAAGUCACAAUGUCGUUGCACCUAGACAGAGGAUGACUCCACCCAAGCAGUUGCAUUCACAGCAGGGUCAGCAAAUAAUGACUACUCAUGGGCAGUUAAUAGGACCUCAGGGUCAAGUCGUAUUACAACAGAGCCAGAUGAUGGGGCUGCCUGAGCAGAUCGUUGUCAGUCAGGUGCAGGGAAACAAACAAGGGUUCAAUAAUCAGAACCAGCAGAAUGUAAUAGGGGGUCCGGGUCACAUGAUGAGGGGACCUGCCACAAACUUGCAGGGUAAUAUGGUUCAAUUUUCCACACAGAUGAUCCAGCAGAAUCCUCUGAAUGGGAAUUCUCAAGGGAUUGGCAUACAGGGACAAGGGCUUAGACCUUCAGUACCUCACAUAACUCAACAGCACGGUGACCAUACAACAUCAGCCAGUGACGUCAAUGUAACACAGAUGCUGCCUGAUCUUCAAAUGCAGCAAAGUGCUGUUCCCUCUCAUUUACAAACAAUGCAGCCAGGCAACUCUGCUGGGUCUCACUUUUCAGCCCAUGGUAUGACCUUCAGUGCUCCUUAUAGCACCACAGCAAGUGGAAGUCAGGUGUCUUUGGUCACUGCCUCUGGUUUUCCAAACAACAAAGAUGUCACUCUGACUAGUCCGUUGCUUGUCAACCUGCUGCAGAGUGAUAUCACGUCAGCACAGUUUGCCAUGACCAACAAACAGAACAGCCAGGCUGUCAACAAACCCAAGAAGAAAAAACCAUCGCGUUCACAGAAGAAAAAGAACAGCGGAUCUCAGCAGGCAGAAGAGCAAACACAGCAUGUGGAUGUGGCUCAACAGGUGCCCAAAGUCUUCUGGCCAUUCCUCAUGCAUGAGCCAAGAUGGAUUUCAGAUACCCGUCAGAUGCAGCCAGGGCUAGAUGAUGGAGAACCACAACAAAUGACAGGAGAACAGGGUGUUGGAAUUGAUCCAGCAGCCAACAAGUUGUCUGAAUUUGCAAAUCGAUCUGCUGGAUUCCAUUUGCAGGCAGUUGAUCAGAGAGCACUACAGCAGACAACUAUUCAAUCCAUCCAACACUCUCAGCAGCAACAGCAACCACCUCAACAACAACAGCAGCAGCAGCAGCAGAUGAUGAUGAUGCUGAUGAUGAAGCAGCAGCAACAACAACAACAGCAACAACAACAGUCGGACUCAGCAAAAUCAAUUAGGAUUCCGAUGACCCCUAAUACACUUCCAUCAAAAACAACCUUAACUCCAGAUGCGUCAAGAAUGCCAAUGACCACAGCUGGUAAUAAAGCAGUCAUGGUAAGCUUGCCUGGCCAGAGUGGAGUGCCACCAUCACCAGAUAAAUCGAGGAUGCCUUUAUUAGUUGGCCAUCAAGCUGGCAACACACUAAGGAAGAUGACUUUUCAGGAAAAUAUUCAAAACAUCCCAUCAUCAGUCCCCGAGGAAGGAAAUCCAGCUGCACAUCAUCCUGAUGGAAUAGGAACUGAACUUUCACUUUCCACUGGGGCCCAAGUAAAUCCAGGGCCACAACCUGUUCCCCUACCGACCCAAGUGCUCAUCACUGGGACUAAGCCUGGACAUUCUCAAAUCCCAACACCGCAAGGUGCAAGUCCGCAGCAGCAGGGACCUCUUCCUUUACAAGGCGGUCACAACAUUCAUUUUCCUAACAACAAUACUACUACUACUACACAGACCUCGAGACCAAAAACACCAAAUCGAGCAAGCCCCAGGCCCUACUUUCCCCACACACCCACCAGUAGACCACCCAGCACAGAACCUUCUGAGAUAAGUUUAUCGCCUGAAAGGUUGAAUGCUUCUAUUGCAGGUCUUUUUCCUCCUCAAAUCAACAUUCUCUUGCCUCCUCGGCAGCCCCCUCUAAAUAGAGGCUUUGAUCAACAGGGACUAAACCCAACUACUCUGAAAGCGAUUGGACAGGCCCCAACCAGCAUUCCUCCCCUUGCUACCAACUCAUCUGUUUCCACAGCAUCACAAGCAAAUAAACUGGAUUCGGUUAUAGUCAGUUCGGCAAAACAGGUUACUGGGAAACGUGCAAGUCCUAGUACUAGCAGGAGAGCCAGCACUGGGUCCAGUAGAAAAACUGGUCAAAGUUCAGGUAGACAAAGUGGGAAAGGCUUGAAAUCAGUCCUGACCCUUCAGCAGAACCCAGCCAUCAUACCAAACAUGGAUGUACAAAAGAACAUUCUAACAAAUGCUGCACAAGUUCUGUCAAAUUCUGGAAGUUUGAGUGAUCCUAGCAAUGCAGUUCCAAGUACUCCAAAUCCACCAAUUUCUAUCAGAAUUUUGGCUAACAAUCCUGAAGAAAGCAAGGAAGGUCCACCUUUGUCUGGCAACAGUGUGUUGAAGCAGGUCUCCAGUAACAAGGAACAGAUGACAUUUGAAUGCAAUCCUCAAAACGUAAACAAAUUGGAGAAGAAAAAUGGUUCUGAGAUUCAAAUAAAAAAGGGAAUUAAGCCACCGGAUACCAGUAGACCUGGUGGACGUGGAGAUGAGAAAAGCCUACCACCUUUAAGAGAGAUUCCUAUUUCGCUUAAUCAACUUCUGGACACUUCUGGUAGUCCUGGUGCUACCAUUAAGACCACUAGUUCCAAUCAAAUGGAACAACUUAUACCUUCUGGAGAUAAAGAGAAAGCAGUAACACCAGAUGAACCUGUUAAGGAAAUUCCUAGUGCAUCGGCACAAGUUGUUUGUGACAGUGGCUUAGCCCCAAUUCGACAGGAAGCAGGAGAAUUAAACAUUAAUGUGACUCAGAGUGGUCCAGCCAUGGUGCCCACACCAGUAGUGUCUGCAUCUAUUUCUGCGUCAAAUCCAAUUACAGUGUUUUUGAGUUCCAGUCCCAUUAAAUCGACAAGCAAUGUAACUGCACCUGCACAGACUCAGUCCCAGCCUACAGUUGUUUCAUCUGUAGUCACAAUGCCACCCUUGGGUAAUAAAGUGGUAUCUGAGGUACAGCCAAUGGUACAGACAGGUUCACAGCCAGCAUUCAUCACUGCACCUGUGUUUAUAAAUACAUCUGUAUUCCAGGUUGUUAAAGAACCUUUGUUAUCUCAAUCAACCACCGUUCCUAAAGUAACUUUACCUUCAACUUCUUCAUUGGUACCCCAGUCUGUAACUGUAAUCCAGGUAUCUCACACUGCUCAGAGUUCAUCGUGCUCAGCAGUUUCAACUACCCCACCUGUUAAUAGCUCCAUUAACUCUUCUGCACCAACGAGUAGAAUGCUGGUUCAGAGGUCAUCUGCAUCCCCAGUUCAGCCACCUUCCACCUCUCCGGCUCCUCCAAACAUCUCCUCACCAUCUCCUCACAGGCCAGCUGCAGACUUCAACCUCAGUGAGUCUCUUCAGAAUAACGGCAUGGUUGACCAAAGCUCUUCAGCUUCAUCCCACGCAACUGCAGUUGCAACGUCACCUACUUCAGCUAGCCCAGUUGAGCAAAGAAAAGAGUCUUUGGAACAUUUGGACACAGGACUGCCAGCCACAACACCUCCAGUUGUUCCAGAGCAAAUAUCGCCCAGGUUCAGUGCAACAAGGGACCACGGUGAAAAAUGGAGAAGACUUGAAUGUUGCGAAUGAAGUGGGUCAGAGUGAAGCAAAAAUACUCUAGAGAAAUCCAAAAGCCCUACCAGAAAAAAUUCAAAAAAUGAAAAGGAGAUAGAGGAGGGUUCAUCCCUUCAGGAAUCUUCUGAAAAUGGGCAACGGAAAAGGCCUUCACGACCAGGCUCUACAGCGGGGGGCACGAAAGAUACGAGUACAGCCACCAGCCCUACACAGACAAAACGAAGGAAAUCCAAAUAAAAUCUCACAAUUGUAAACCUGUGAAGUGUAAAUGUUUGUGAAUUUAAAUAAUUUUUCCAAGCUACUUUUCUAGCAUGAAAUUGUGUAUAGAGUACUGUUUUAAUAUUUGUCCCACUGAAAUGUGACUUUAAAAAAAAAGUUUUUUGAAUCCUGAAACUGUUUAACAAGGUAAAAACCUGUCAUACAGCCAGUAAAACCCCACUGGAAAGUAACCGUACUGGUAAUUUCUGUUGCAAAGCUAAAGUAAGUUGCCAGCUUUUGUCACUGUCACCAACCUUGGUAAAAUAUAGUAUGUUAUUUUUAAUUUGGUAUUUACUGACUGUUAAAUUGUGUUCAAGUCUUAAAUACUGUAUGUGAAUAUUUGUACGAGGGUGCAAUAAAGCCCAUCUCCACUGGA